CUCCUCAGGAAAAAGAAAACGCACCAGAGCAAAUUGCUGUGCUACAUCUGCGUACUAAUUUGGGCCUAUAUGGUGGAUGUCCGUGCUGCAUGGGAAGAUUACAUUAGAGGAAGACUGCUGACUGGUGAAACUUAGUAAUACUGAUUGAUGGUGACAGAAACCAGCUGCAGAAGAUCACUUUAAAGAAUUGGCCUUCGGGGUUCUUUCUGCUUUAAGGGAUAAAUCUAAUGCAGGGAUUGAAGCAGCAACAGGACGGCAGCAGGCGCAUGGUGGAUGGAUAUAUUUUAAGAAAAGGAUUAUAAACUUACAGGACACGAAGGAAACACUGGAACCAAGGGGACAGCAACAACAACAGGGAUUACAACAGACAACCUGAUAACAAAGAGACAGAAAAGAGGAACUUAAAAACA